rnacentral:lncRNA from 10 species
GCUAAGUGGCCUAUACAACUUAGGUGGAGGGAAGGAAUAAUUCAGAAGAUAGGGCUGGGUUUUUAGUCCUCUGGAGGGUAGAAAAUUAGGGAUAAUGUGACUUCACACAUAAACCUUAUGAUAAGCAAAACAUAUCCCAGAUUCUGUACUCAAUGGCUUAAUACUGGCUAUCAUUGGAACUGCAGAGGGAUGAAAGAUUUUUUAUAGCAGAUUUGUAUUUUUUUGAAUUUCUAUAUGGUUUGAAUGUUUUAAUCAAGCAUGUUUUAUUUUUUGCUGUGAUGCGCAUAUUUAUUUUUAAGUUUUCCAGUAGCCACAUUUAAAAAGGUAAGAGAAUACAGGUAAAAUUAAAGAAUAUAUUUUAUUCAACCCAAUAUAUCCAAAAUAUUAUCAUUUAAACAGGGAUUCAGCAUAACAGGUAUUGAGAUAUUUUACAGUCUUUCUUUUCUUACUAAGUCUACAAAAUCUGGGGUAUAUUUUAUACUCAUAGCAUGUCCCAGUGAGAACUGGCCAUGUUUCAGUUGCCUUACGAGCCAAAUGCAUUAGUACUGUACAGUGCAGCUCUGUAUCCUGAAAACAUAUUUUCACAUUAAUGAAAAAAAUGGGCUAAUGAGAAGAUCAGACAGCUUAUAAAAUAUAAAAAGUAAAGGGUCAGUAACUACAUUGAAAAAUGUAAAAAUUCAGCAGUAAUAAAAAUAUAAUGAAAAACCAUGAACUGCCACGUGUUCCAGGUCACAUGCAGGUAUAACUGAGGGAUAGGUAAACAAACUAGUAUUGCCCUUCUGAAAAAAAAACAACAACAUGUUAACAAAAGCUUUAAGUGAUUGUUAUUCAUAAUCUUCGCUGCAAAAAAGUUCAUUUUCUAAGAAUUUUAUACUAAGCUCUGACGGAACAAAUGUGCAAGACAUUUACAAGGAUGUUUAAAUCUGUAUCAUUUAUAAAGGAAAGAAAUUGGCAAUAACCUAAAUGUUCAAUCCCAGGUACCUAAUUUCAUCAGUAAUGGCAAAUCCAUAAAAUUAAAUGCCUAUCAGUUAUUUUAUAUGAUGAGUAAUGAUUAUUCUAGAUAGUAGAUAAUAAAUACAACAUAACAUAUGCCCAUGAGCUAUCUCUCUCCAAGACAUGAGAUCACUGAUUUCAAAUUUUAUUUUUUGCUUAUUUGUAUUUUCUAAAAUUUCCACAAUACAUUUUUAUUACACCCAAAGUCAAUAAUCAAAAUGGCAAAGUAUGUCAGAAAAACUGAAGAUGAAGAAAACUGGAAAAAGCCUAGCCUAUUUUUUAGAAGAAAUCUAAUGGUUGCCUCUGAAUAAGUAAUUUCAGUAGAAGGACAGUAUUUAGAAACCAAAAUGAUGGUUGAGAAGCAAAAAGAAAUUUAAUCAGCAAGGAAUUAUGGAAAAAUGCACAUGGUAACAGUAUAUAUCAUACAGAGUGUUUCUUUCUGUUAGAUUUUUAAAUGAAAAUAUGCCCAUUGUGGAAAGUUUAGAAGAAAUGAAAGAGAAUAAAGAAGGAAAGAAAAAUGACUUGCAACUUCAACACCAGCAAUCUCUACCCUCAACAUCCUGGAGUGCUCCCUUUAGAUCCUUUCCUGCAUGGUGCCCAAUAAAUGUUUGCUGAACAAAUGGGGGCAAAAGAACCAAAAUACACAGGGAUGUCAGUACACUGAAGUAGGAAGGAGGGACAGAAAUAGCAAGUCUUAGGAAAUGCCUGGGUAUAAAAUAAGGAGAAAAAUUACACUUAAUAGCAUAUCAUAAUAACUGCAUUUAAAGGUGGGAGGAGAGUCAACAUGUAAUAAGUGUUAUUUGAUUUAAGUAUUUCUAUUGCUAAAUUUAAGUGUAGUUAAAAUUUCAUAGUUUACUUUCUUUACAUAAUGCACUAUCCGCAUCAUUGAAAAUUUCUGUGAAUAUGUUUCUAAUAACAUUAUAAUUUUUCAAUGUGUAGAUAUUUCAUAAUUUGCAUAAACAAUGCCAUGAUAUUGAAAUCAGUUACUUACAAUGCCAAGGGAACAGAACUGUUCAUGACUCAUUGUUGACCUCUAUGAUAUCUACUAGACAGGGGUCCUGUCAGAAGAAUGACUAAAAGGGUAUUAUUAAAACUCUUGAUACAUGUGGCUAAACUCCUUUCUAGGAAGUUUUAACCAAAUCUUGCUCUGAAGCAGUGAGAUCUGACAAUGUACAGUACGUGAAUUUCUAUUUAUUGGGUGAAAGAGUCAUGAAAAGCUAAAUGACUAAAGAAAGGAGGCUGUGAAAGACAAAGCUGAGAAUGCUGGAGUGAGAAGGAGUCAUCAUGCUUGCAAGCCACAGUAAAGAGACGAGUGGGAAGAGAUGAGUGAGAAAAGAAGGGAAGGAAGUUUGAAAACAAAAGGAAAUGUGAACUUAGUUAAGGAAGAACACAUCUUCCUCUCAGAAAUAUGAAGGAGAAACUAAUAGGAUAGAAAGAUAAAGAAUAAGUGAAAAUAGAUAUGACUAUGAGAUGAAUUCCUCAGACAACACUGUAAGAAAUGUCUUCUUCAUUGACCAAUUCCAAGAACAUCAUGCUUCUAUUUCUCAGCUGGACAAGUGGCUGUUAGGGGUGCCCAGCCCAUCAUCCACAACUCUUCUAGCUCCAGCUGGGAGAUAACACUGGCUUUGAAGGGAUGACAGCCCACCCAUGGGGAAAGAAAGAUAUAACAAAUAUCUGAAAAUUCAGCCCUAACCCCUUAAAGUUUGGCUCACUGAAUGAUGGCUACUGUGAGGUUUAAGGGAGGAGUAGUAUAGAAAGCUCCUAACAUCAACUCUUUAAAAAUAAAGGCAAUUUACCUGGGGAAAAUGUAUUAGGAACAUCUUGUGUCUUGGGGGCCAACUAGAUUUUAUAACCUUUGGUUUUGAGGACCAUAUAAGCCCAGCAGAGUAAAAUGCUAUGAAGACUCAUGGCUGUUAAUAACUGAGGACGCAAAGACCCUCAAAUAGGAAGAUUUUCAGUAACAAAAGAAAACGGCUCUUACGCACAUAGAUUAGAUUCCUACAGUUCUCCAGUGUCACUUCUCUGUACAGAUUCCUCUGUGGAGGGCUCAGUUAUCUCCACUCCCCCUCAGUAAAGUCUACAACAACAUUCUUGAAUGUCACUGGCUCCUAAAAUAUAAGCAUAUUCACCCCCUUUUAGCUAUCCAGAAAAUGUUCCUGACAUAAUGUGUAAAGCUGAUAGUCACAGGAAAGGUGGAGGAGAUGUACAGAAAGUUUUUUUGUUUUGUUUUGUUUUGUUUUGUUUUGUUUUGUUUUGUUUUGUUUUGUUUUUGAGAUGGAGUUUCACUCUCGUUGCCUAGGCUGGUGUGCAGUGGCGCAAUCUCGGCUCACUGCCACCUCCACC